rnacentral:rRNA from 1 species
AUGGCCUCCAUGACUACCCCUCGGCUCCCCUUCUUCCCAGCCCGAGCACGCUCUGCCGCCGCCGCCUUCUCUUCGUUGUCCUCCUCCCCGUUACAAUGCUGCCCCGUUAAACGCACCAGCUUCACCAACACCAACUCAGCCCCCCUUCUUUUUGCCUCGCGGCCAGGGGCGCCCUUGGCGGACGGCUGGUCCGCCGACCUCAACCGUCGCCGGGCCUCUGCUAUGCCUGUCGCGGACAGCCCUCUUCCCGCGUACAGCGAUCCGCAUGCGUUACCUCUGCCUCUCACUAGUGCGGAUCUAAUGGAGUCGGGCGGGGAGGGGCUCAAGGUUGCCUACCAGGGCUUCCCAGGAGCGUACAGCGAGUCCGCGGCAAAGAAGGCCUAUCCACAUUGCCAGACCGUGCCUUGCGAGCACUUCGAUACUGCAUUUCAGGCUGUAGAAAACUGUACAGUUGAUAGGGCAGUAUUGCCACUUGAGAAUACUCUGGGCGGUAGCAUACAUCGGAACUAUGACCUUCUACUUCGUCAUAAGCUACACAUAGUUGGAGAUGUUCGCCUUGCAGUUCGGCAUUGUUUGUUAGCCAAUCGUGGAGUGAAGAUUGGAAACCUAAGAAGUGUCAUGAGCCAUCCCCAGGCUCUUGCUCAAUGUGAGCAUACACUGACAGAGUUAGGAAUUGAACAGAGACAAGCUGUUGAUGACACUGCUGGUGCAGCAAAGUUAGUUACAGAACAAAUGCUCCAAGAUACUGGUGUUGUUGCCAGUUCAUUAGCUGCUGAACUUUAUGGACUGGAUAUUCUUGCUGAAAAUAUUCAGGACGAAAAAGAGAACGUCACCCGUUUUAUGAUGCUUGCUCGGAAACCUAUUGUACCUCAGGUUGAUAAACCAUUCAAGACCAGCAUUGUGUUUUCACUUGAAGAUUGGAAACCUGCGCAGCUCCUCAAGGCACUUGCAGUUUUUGCACUGAGGGACAUCGACCUCACCAAGAUAGAAAGCCGCCCACACAAGAAAAGGCCUUUUCGUGUAGCUGAUGAUACUUUCUCCACACCCGUCAAGUACUUCAACUACCUCUUUUAUGUUGACCUUGAGGCAUCAAUGGCUGAUCCAAAAGCUCUGAAAGCUCUUGGAAAUUUGGAGGAGUUUGCACCCUUUGUAAGAGUCCUGGGGAGCUAUCCUACAGACGUGAGUGAAGUUUGA